AAAAUUCUAAUCUCCCACCCAUGCCAAACACCUGUAUCUGACCCUAUGGAUUCAGGACUUUAAUGACAGCCAGCAGCCAAUUAGCCUUGCUCUACCUGUUCAAGCGGAGGAAGAAUGGGAAACAAGUUACAGCUGAACCAAUCAAAGAGUUGCAGUUUAAUUUGGAAACGACAGAAGUCACCUACAGUCUCAUCCAGAGAGAAUGCUUUAAGGAUGCAAUGAAGGUGAACGUCAUACAAGGUUGGAAGCAGGGACCACCUUUGGAAAGGAAUGACUUUAAUUGAACUGGAACUUUGAGGUUGUUGUUGUGCCUAUCUGAACCUGUGCUUCUUGAAUGGUUAAUAAUUCUAAAUAUGG